GGAUCAUCGAACCCAUACCCCUGCAUUGGAAGCAUGGAGUCUUAACCACUGGACCACCUGGGAAGUCCUGCAAUCCCAAAUUGAAUGAGGCAAUAAAGCAACUGGAACCCUUCUAUGCCAUGGGAGGGAUUCAUGUCUGGGACAGAGAGGAGAAGAGCUCCUGGGAUUUGCAGAAGAAAGAGGCCUGGGGACAAACAUGUCAUCACUGGGGCCCCAGGAAGACCUUAUCGAGCCUGUAGACUCUUCCUUUGGAGCCUUGGUCUUAGCAGUGUUGUUUUCUGGCCCUUGGCGGACGGCUACUCUACCUGGGAGUUACUUGCCUCUGAAGGCUACCCGUGUCAGAAUAAUUCUGGGAGACUUAUCAAAUGGAGAUUCCUGGACCCCAAUAACCU